UGUGAUGAUAUCUUUAUUUUACUACUACACCAAGAUCGCAGAAGAUUCGUGUUGAAACAAUUAUCUGA
rnacentral:snoRNA from 1 species